GAAGCUUUGCGGCGGUAAGACGAGCGCGUCAGUUGACUUUUCUCCGUUUGCUGUUUGUCCUCACACAGCUAUAGAAACAUUAGCCGUCGGUUUAAAAGGCUAAUUUAGCUCAUUACGAAGGGAAAGUUCGCCUAAAGCGCCAUGACUCAAAAGGCAGCGGCUCUUCAGACCUACAACAACGAACUUGUCAAAUGUAUUGAGGACUUGUGCUCGAAGCGGGACGAGCUGAACCGCCAGAUUAAGCUGGAGGAAGAUGAGAAGGAGCGACUCCAGCGUGACAUCCGGGUCCUCUCUGAGAAGCUGAGCAAGGUGAAUGAAAGCCUGGCCCAAAGACUGAUCACCAGGACCAACUUGGACCGUACCAUCGCAGAGACCGAGGCGGCAUACACAAAGCUAAUGAAUGAAAACACAAACUCCUGAGCCGCCCUGUCUGGGAAAACAUCAAGGAGGUCAGGAUCCUCCGUUACACUUUCUACUUAAAGAUCCUGGAGAGUUCCCAGUCCCUAUUGAGCGUCCUAAAACAAGAAGCAGGAAACCUCAGCAAGGCCACAGGGCCUCGGAAAAAGGACCAUUGACGCCACAGAAACCCCACUGAACUCUGUUAGACCACAAUCCUCUCAUUCUGCACUUUUUAACCCACUGAUCUGUUCCGUUGGGUAUUUUUUUUUUCUUUUCUGUAAAGCAAUAAAUGUUUGAUUUUUAACUGUAUAUCUCCAGUGACUCUUUCAGACAAAACAGACUCGUUAACACCUUUUGUUCAAGUCGUCUAUUUAUUCAGCUCUGUUUUUGUACAAGUAUGACAUCUUUGUUUUUUUAAACCCCUUGCCCCCCCCCAUCAGAUUGUAGACAGUAAGUUGACAUCAAGCAAAUGAAGGUUUACAGACAGGAGGGUGAUGAACGGAUGGAUGGAGCUUCUAUCACACUGUGUGACGGGAGGAGACGUACACAGCUGAAUCAGAACCAACAUGUUUGUUUUUUUUCUGCUGGUGUCAUCAAGGACCAUCAAUCAUUUGGAUGGAUCGUCAGACGGGCCACGACUCCACAGCAGCUCAGAAAACAAACUCUAAAAGCUCCGUAAUCAAAUUAUUAACUCAAGCUCUACGUUUCUGUUGUCGCUUCAGAACUAGUAUUGGUCUGACGCAGUGGGGUGAAAUAAUAUUCACCCCACUUAACUAUGAUACCCCCAAAUAAAAUCUAACGCAACCAACUGGAGAAGAUUUAUCAUUUAAUUUUAGAAUUUGCACUUUUUGUUUUAACGUUAAAAGAACAUUUAGUGGAUUUUCUCU